rnacentral:lncRNA from 1 species
GUUCAGCUCCCUCCAAGAUCGGCCUCUGGAAGUAGCAGCACAUGAAAUACCUUCACCAGGUGCCCUGUGGAGGGUUGGAUUUGCUCCCAGAGCUGUUCAGGUGCCUCAUGGAGCUCCAGUUUCUACCACCGCUGUUCCCGGAGCUCUGGUGCCGGCAGAGGGAGCACAGGCAGCGCGGAGGAGCUCGCAGCUCUCGGCAGAUCCAUCCCAUCCCGGGCUGGGGCACUCUCCUAAAACAUUGCUGGAAUUUUAAAGGUCUCCUCAAAGAUCCCAGUGCAGGCACUUGGGUGAAGGUUUUCAUUUCCUUGGACUGUAAAUGUUCUUUUGAGCCUCAGGCAGUUCCCUCCAGCAGAACUUGGAGGAGACACAUGUCAAACACUCUCCACUUGGGCUCAGAGGUUGCAAGAGAAGGACAAUCCAGGACUCUGGCAGGUGUGGAAGUGACAAUUCCAGCAGUAGAACACAGGCAGCCCUGCGGCAGCUACAGUGGAAGCAGCCCCUCCCUGCUACAGUUUAACACAGUCUUGGACAGAGGAGAAGCGCAGGAACCAACAUGCAAAGCAAUUCAAAGACCCCAGGGGCUCGAGGAAGACCACCCACAGCUCAGCUCCUGCUCCCAGCAGUGCCUCUGGGGGCUCUUUCCCUCCAGCUGCUGCUCCAGUCAUGCCCCAGAGCAGGAGGGAGGUCAUGGCAGACACCAAACCUACACACACAGAGAGGAGAGAACUGGCCUGGGAUUGUGUCUUGAUGAGUCAGGGAGAAGAGAGAUCCUUCAGGAAGAGGUGCUGACUUCCAUAGCAAGCCAGGAGAUGAAGCUCAGAUAUUUCACCACAAAUUUCUUGUGUCAGAGCUGGCAUCUCUUGGAGCCAGCAACUCUUCUAAAUGCCUGUGAUGGAUGUCGAGGCCAAAGAUUCCCACAGCACUGGAGAAAUCUUUGCCAACACGUAGAAAUGGAUGUCCCCAGAAGGAAGAGGUGCAUCAGACUUGACUGGCCCUUGCAGACAACACAACAAACACCAC